UACAGAGGUCUCAAGCGUUGUUCGGAUUCACUGGGCGUAAGGUGCGCAGGCGGCCAAGUGUGUUAGGCGUGAAAGCCCGGGGCUUAACCCCGGAAUUGCACCUAAACUACAUGGCUAGAGCAUUGGAGAGGGUAGCGGAAUUCACGGUGUAGCAGUGAAAUGCGUAGAUAUCGUGAGGAACACCAGAGGCGAAGGCGGCUACCUGGACAAUUGCUGACGCUCAGGCACGAAAGCGUGGGGAGCAAAGGG
rnacentral:rRNA from 1 species